GUGCUCGCUUCGGCAGCACAUAUACUAAAAUUGGAGCGAUACAGACAAGAUUAGCAUGGCCCCUGUGCAAGGAUGACACGCAAAUUCUUAGAUUUAAUUCCAUAUUUUU